rnacentral:rRNA from 1 species
UACGUAGGGCGCAAGCGUUGUCCGGAAUUAUUGGGCGUAAAGAGCUCGUAGGCGGCCUGUUGCGUCCGCUGUGAAAUCCCGGGGCUCAACCCCGGGCCUGCAGUGGAUACGGGCUGGCGUGGAGGCAGGCAGGGGAGAACGGAAUUCCUGGUGUAGCGGUGAAAUGCGCAGAUAUCAGGAGGAACACCGGUGGCGAAGGCGGUUCUCUGGGCCUGUUCUGACGCUGGAGGAGCGAAAGCGUGGGGAGCGAACAGG